rnacentral:rRNA from 1 species
AGCAUGUGCGCGAGUCAUUGGGAAUCACUAAACCUAAAGGCGUAAUGAAAGUAAAGGUUCUCCUCGCGAGAACCGAGGGAAGACGGGCGGUAUUCACCCUUAAAAGUGGCCGCUCCGCACUCCCGGGGCGUCUCGUUCUCAUCGCGAGAAGAGGCGCACCAAGAGCGUACACGCUGGGACCCGAAAGAUGGUGAACUAUGCCUGGUCAGGACGAAGUCAGGGGAAACCCUGAUGGAGGUCCGUAGCGAUUCUGACGUGCAAAUCGAUCGUCGGAACUGGGUAUAGGGGCGAAAGACUAAUCGAACCAUCUAGUAGCUGGUUCCCUCCGAAGUUUCCCUCAGGAUAGCUGGCGCUCGUCGCGCACGAGUCUCAUCCGGUAAAGCGAAUGAUUAGAGGCAUUGGGGUCGAAACGACCUCAACCUAUUCUCAAACUUUAAAUGGGUGAGAUCUCCGGCUUGCUCGAACUCACACAACACUUCUAAAGUGUUAGUUGAAGCCGCGAGACACGGAUCAGAGUGCCAAGUGGGCCAUUUUUGGUAAGCAAACUGGCGCUGUGGGAUGAACCAAACGUCGAGUUAAAGCGCCUAAAUCGACGCUUAUGGGAUACCAUGAAAGGCGUUGGUAACUUAAGACAGCAGGACGGUGGCCAUGGAAGUCGGA